rnacentral:rRNA from 1 species
GCUGAGCCUUCGGGCACGGUGUACUUGUCGGCGGUAUGCGCUGAGUCCGCUGUUGGUGUGCGUUGAGCGUUGCGGUGUUGCCCACUUGUGGUGUCUUGCCGCGGCGGGAGGCGUAUCGUCGGUAGCGCGAUUCGGUGUAGGCGUUGAUCACCUGUCUGACCCGUCUUGAAACACGGACCAAGGAGUCUACCGCAUGCGCGAGUCAUUGGGUUGCAAACCUAGAGGCGCAAUGAAAGUAAAGGUCGGCGUUCGCUCGGCUGAUAUGGGAUGCGUGUGCUUGUCAUGCGCCGCACCAUAUCCCCGUCUCGACGG